rnacentral:rRNA from 1 species
AUUGAACGCUGGCGGCAGGCCUAACACAUGCAAGUCGAACGAGUGGCGGACGGGUGAGUAAUGUCUGGGAAACUGCCCGAUGGAGGGGGAUAACUAAUGGAAACGGUAGCUAAUACCGCAUACCAUCGGAUGUGCCCAGAUGGGAUGGGCUAGUAGGUGGGGUAACGGCUCACCUAGGCGACGAGCCCGUGCUGGUCUGAGAGGAUGACCAGCCCCGCUGGAACUGUGACACGGUCCGGACUCCUCCGGGAGGCGUCUGUGGGGAAUAUUGCACAUUGGGGGCAGGCCUGAUGCAGCCAUUCGGCGUGUAUGUAGAGGGCCUUCGGGUUUUAAGGUACUUUCAGCGGGGAGGCGUUACUCGCAGAGGAAGCACCGGCUAACUACGUGCCAGCAGCCGCGGUAAUUC